UACGUAGGGGGCAAGCGUUGUCCGGAAUCAUUGGGCGUAAAGAGCGCGUAGGCGGCCCUGUAAGUCCGCUGUGAAAGUCAAGGGCUCAACCCUUGAAUGCCGGUGGAUACUGCAGGGCUAGAGUCCGGAAGAGGCGAGUGGAAUUCCUGGUGUAGCGGUGAAAUGCGCAGAUAUCAGGAGGAACACCGGUGGCGAAGGCGGCAUUCUGGACCGAUAUUGACGCUGAGGAGCGAAAGCCAGGGGAGCAAACGGG
rnacentral:rRNA from 1 species